AGAAUAGUAUUUUAAUAAAAAAAAUUGACCUGCAAUCAAAAAAUGCCUCUGCCUAUUCU
rnacentral:tRNA from 1 species